CAGCCAUAGACUGGUGGGGCAUCCUUGCUGUCUCUUGUCUUGCUGCUUCCAGCUCUUGUACUGAGCAGCUGGACCCUCUAAAUCUCCAGCAUGAGGUGGCCUUUGUGGAUUCUCACACCUCUGUCCUGUAAAUCUAGCUAACAAAUCCUCUUGAUAUAUAUAUAUAUGAUUUGGUCCUCUAGAGAACCCUACCUAAAACAACCCACAAUUGCAGUCCUUGGCAAAGCCCUUCAAAACAGCAAGUCACCAUUUGUCUUUCAGAGCUGAUUUGUACUGAACUGUGCUCCCCCUGAAGUCGUGUUUUACAUCAUUAUGACAGAAAAAGCAGAGGAUAAUUCUGCACGGCAAGAUGGGAGAUAUUCGUUUUGUUCCUUAUUUGGUGCUUCUGCCAGUGUGAGAACAGUCCAGGCACCCAAUCUUCUAAGGCUGCCUGGAAACUAAGGAGAGGCCCCCAUACAAGAACAGCCCAAGAGAAGGAGCUGCUUCCACUUGUAAGGCAUGGGUUUUUUUUUUCUCUCAUUGAGUUUAUUGGUACAUUUUAGGUAU
rnacentral:lncRNA from 1 species